rnacentral:rRNA from 1 species
AACACGUGAAUUUAAACCAGCGGCUGAUUAUUGCUGUUGGAACACCCGUCACUCCAUACAAUGAGAUGAGCAUGGAGGCUUAUUGUAUAGGUUGAUGGGAGAUCAAUCAGGCACAGCUCCGUGCCAAGGAAAAAAAUUAGCACGAGCAUUGAUGGCAUACCCUGAAGCGUAGGUUUUGGGUUAUUGCUAUACAUGCUUGUUAAGAGUUAUAAGACUCUCGGCAAUGGAUAUCUUGGCUCUCGCAUCGAUGAAGAGCGCAGCGAAAUGCGAUACGUGGUGCGAAUUGCAGAAUCCCGUGAACCAUCGAGUAUUUGAACGCAAGUUGCGCCUGAGGCCAACUGGCCAAGGGCACGCCCGCCUGGGCGUCAAGCAUUGCAUCGCUCCAUUUGACGCGCACCAUCGACGGAAGUCGACUGCGCAGUCUUGGAUGCGGAGAAUGACCCGUCAUGCGCUAUUGCGUGGCGGGUUGAAGAGCGGGAUUAUUUUCUCUGGGCGAUAAUCGAUACAUGGGUGGGUCGGAAGCCCCAAUUGAUUCUCAUCAUCGUAUGGUUGCCUUGAGAAAGCUUACAGAUCCCCGGGCGACCUAGAUCAAGUUGGAAGCAAAUUGAAAUGCGACCCCAGGAUGGGCGGGGUGACCCGCUGAGUUUAAGCAUAUCAAUAA